GACGAACGCUGGCGGCGUGCUUAACACAUGCAAGUCGAACGGAAAGGCCUUGCUUGUGGGGUGUGCGCGAGUGGCGAACGGGUGUGUAACACGUGUAUAAUCUCCCCUUGACUUUGGGAUAAUUUCAGGAAACUGGCGCUAAUACCGUAGAAGAUCUCCCGCUGCAUGGGGGGGGGUGGAAAGUUUAGGCGGUUGGGGAUGGACUCGCGGCUUAUCAGCUUGUUGGUGGGGUAGUGGCUUACCAAGGCUUUGACGGGUAGCCGGCCUGAGAGGGUGACCGGCCACAUUGGGACUGAGAUACGGCCCAGACUCCUACGGGAGGCAGCAGUGGGGAAUAUUGCACAAUGGGCGGAAGCCUGAUGCAGCAACGCCGCGUGCGGGAUGACGGCCUUCGGGUUGUAAACCGCUUUCGCCUGUGACGAAGCGUGAGUGACGGUAAUGGGUAAAGAAGCACCGGCUAACUACGUG
rnacentral:rRNA from 1 species